AUUGAACGCUGGCGGCAGGCCUAACACAUGCAAGUCGAGCGGAUGAAGGGAGCUUGCUCCUGGAUUCAGCGGCGGACGGGUGAGUAAUGCCUAGGAAUCUGCCUGGUAGUGGGGGAUAACGUCCGGAAACGGGCGCUAAUACCGCAUACGUCCUGAGGGAGAAAGCGGGGGAUCUUCGGACCUCACGCUAUCAGAUGAGCCUAGGUCGGAUUAGCUAGUUGGUGGGGUAAGGGCCUACCAAGGCGACGAUCCGUAACUGGUCUGAGAGGAUGAUCAGUCACACUGGAACUGAGACACGGUCCAGACUCCUACGGGAGGCAGCAGUGGGGAAUAUUGGACAAUGGGCGAAAGCCUGAUCCAGCCAUGCCGCGUGUGUGAAGAAGGUCUUCGGAUUGUAAAGCACUUUAAGUUGGGAGGAAGGGCAGUAAGUUAAUACCUUGCUGUUUUGACGUUACCAACAGAAUAAGCACCGGCUAACUUCGUG
rnacentral:rRNA from 1 species